rnacentral:rRNA from 1 species
UGAGUGGCGGACGGGUGAGUAACGCGUGGGUAACCUGCCUCACACAGGGGGAUAACAGUUGGAAACGGCUGCUAAUACCGCAUAAGCGCACAGUACCGCAUGGUACAGUGUGAAAAACUCCGGUGGUGUGAGAUGGACCCGCGUCUGAUUAGCUAGUUGGCAGGGCAACGGCCUACCAAGGCGACGAUCAGUAGCCGACCUGAGAGGGUGACCGGCCACAUUGGGACUGAGACACGGCCCAAACUCCUACGGGAGGCAGCAGUGGGGAAUAUUGCACAAUGGGGGAAACCCUGAUGCAGCGACGCCGCGUGAGCGAAGAAGUAUUUCGGUAUGUAAAGCUCUAUCAGCAGGGAAGAAGAAAUGACGGUACCUGACUAA